rnacentral:rRNA from 1 species
AUUGAACGCUGGCGGCAGGCCUAACACAUGCAAGUCGAGCGGAUGACGGGAGCUUGCUCCUUGAUUCAGCGGCGGACGGGUGAGUAAUGCCUAGGAAUCUGCCUGGUAGUGGGGGACAACGUUUCGAAAGGAACGCUAAUACCGCAUACGUCCUACGGGAGAAAGCAGGGGACCUUCGGGCCUUGCGCUAUCAGAUGAGACUAGGUCGGAUUAGCUAGUAGGGGAGGUAAUGGCUCACCUAGGCGACGAUCCGUAACUGGGCUGAGAGGAUGAGAAGUCAAACUGAGACUUAGACACGGUCCAGACUCCAAAUGGAGGCAGCAGUGGGGAAUAUUGGACAAUGGGCGAAAGCCUGAUCCAGCCAGGCCGCGUGUGGGAAGAAGGUCUUCGGAUUGUAAAGCACUUUAAGUUGGGAGGAAGGGCAGUAAGCGAAUACCUUGCUGUUUUGACGUUACCGACAGAAUAAGCACCGGCUAACUCUGUGCCAGCAGCCGCCGUAACAC